rnacentral:rRNA from 1 species
GUCAGGACGAACGCUGGCGGCGUGCUUAACACAUGCAAGUCGAACGGAAAGGCCCUGCUUUGUGGGGUGCUCGAGUGGCGAACGGGUGAGUAACACGUGAGUAACCUGCCCUUGACUUUGGGAUAACUUCAGGAAACGUGGGGCUAAUACCGGAUAGGAGCUCCUGCUGCAUGGUGGGGGUUGGAAAGUUUCGGCGGUUGGGGAUGGACUCGCGGCUUAUCAGCUUGUUGGUGGGGUAGUGGCUUACCAAGGCUUUGACGGGUAGCCGGCCUGAGAGGGUGACCGGCCACAUUGGGACUGAGAUACGGCCCAGACUCCUACGGGAGGCAGCAGUGGGGAAUAUUGCACAAUGGGCGGAAGCCUGAUGCAAGCAACGCCGCGUGCGGGAUGACGGCCUUCGGGUUGUAAACCGCUUUCGCCUGUGACGAAGCGUGAGUGACGGUAAUGGGUAAAGAAGCACCGGCUAACUACGUGCCAGCCGCAGC